UACGAAGGGGGCUAGCGUUGCUCGGAAUUACUGGGCGUAAAGCGCACGUAGGCGGACCUGCAAGUCGGGGGUGAAAGCCCGAGGCUCAACCUCGGAACUGCCUUCGAUACUGCGGGUCUCGAGUCCGGGAGAGGUGAGUGGAAUUCCUAGUGUAGAGGUGAAAUUCGUAGAUAUUAGGAAGAACACCAGUGGCGAAGGCGGCUCACUGGCCCGGUACUGACGCUGAGGCGCGAAAGCGUGGGGAGCAAACAGGG
rnacentral:rRNA from 1 species